UACGUAGGGUGCGAGCGUUGUCCGGAAUUAUUGGGCGUAAAGGGCUCGUAGGCGGUUUGUCGCGUCGGGUGUGAAAACUCAGGGCUUAACCCUGAGCCUGCUUCCGAUACGGGCAGACUAGAGGUAUGCAGGGGAGAACGGAAUUCCUGGUGUAGCGGUGAAAUGCGCAGAUAUCAGGAGGAACACCGAUGGCGAAGGCAGUUCUCUGGGCCGUAACUGACGCUGAGGAGCGAAAGCGUGGGGAGCGAACAGG
rnacentral:rRNA from 1 species